GCCCGGUUGGCUCAGUCGGUAGAGCGUGUGACUCUUAAUAGCGCCAUGGCGCAAUAAGUAAUCUCAAGGUCGCGAGUUCGACCCUCGCAUCGGGCU